AUAAGUAGGGGGCGAGCGUUGUCCGGAAUGAUUGGGCGUAAAGGGCGCGUAGGCGGCGCGGUAAGUCUGGAGUGAAAGUCAUGCUUUCAAGGUGGGAAUUGCUUUGGAUACUGCCGCGCUUGAGUGCAGGAGAGGUUAUCGGAAUUCCCGGUGUAGCGGUGAAAUGCGUAGAGAUCGGGAGGAACACCAGUGGCGAAGGCGGGUAACUGGACUGCAACUGACGCUGAGGCGCGAAAGUGUGGGGAGCAAACAGGAUUAGAUACCCUGGUAGUCCACACUGUAAACGAUGAAUGCUAGGUGUAAGAGGUAUCGACCCCUUUUGUGCCGGAGUCAACACAAUAAGCAUUCCGCCUGGGGAGUACGGCCGCAAGGUUGAAACUCAAAGGAAUUGACGGGG
rnacentral:rRNA from 1 species